rnacentral:rRNA from 1 species
CACGUAGUUAGCCGGGGCUUUCUUCUCAGGUACCGUCACCUUGUGAGCAGUUAACUCUCACAAGCGUUCUUCCCUGGCAACAGAGCUUUACGAUCCGAAAACCUUCAUCACUCACGCGGCGUUGCUCCGUCAGACUUUCGUCCAUUGCGGAAGAUUCCCUACUGCUGCCUCCCGUAGGAGUCUGGGCCGUGUCUCAGUCCCAGUGUGGCCGAUCACCCUCUCAGGUCGGCUACGCAUCGUCGCCUUGGUGAGCCGUUACCUCACCAACUAGCUAAUGCGCCGCAGGUCCAUCCAUAAGUGACAGAUUGCUCCGUCUUCCGAUUCUCUCAUGCGAGAAAUCGCGUAUCCGGUAUAGCAUUCGUUUCCGAAUGUUAUCCCAGUCUUAUGGGCAGGUUACCUACGUGUUACUCACCCGUCCGCCGCUAAGUCUCGAAGGAAGCGAAGCCUUCCUAUCAACCUCCGUCUCGACUU